rnacentral:tRNA from 1 species
GGAGGGGUAGCCAAGCGGUUCAAGGCGGCGCUCUCGAAAAGCGUUUGGGGGCAACCCCAACGUGGGUUCGAAUCCCACCCCCUCCG